UGUUUGAUUCAAACAAAGCAUUGCAAGGGCCUGUGAGGGGUGCUGACCAUGGUGCUGAAGCGAUGUGAUUUCUGCCCAGUGCUUUGAAUGUGAAAGGGAAGAAAUUCAAUGAAGCGUUGGUGCACGUGUUCGUGUGUGGUUUA
rnacentral:ncRNA from 1 species